GAAGCUGGAAUCGCUAGUAAUCGCGGAUCAGAAUGCCGCGGUGAAUACGUUCCCGGGUCUUGUACACACCGCCCGUCACACCAUGGGAGUCGGAAAUGCCCGAAGUCUGUGACCCAACCUGAAAGGGAGGGAGCAGCCGAAGGCAGGUCGGAUGACUGGGGUGAAGUCGUAACAAGGUAAC
rnacentral:rRNA from 1 species